UACGUAGGGUGCAAGCGUUGUCCGGAAUCAUUGGGCGUAAAGAGCUCGUAGGCGGUUUGUCGCGUCUGCUGUGAAAACCUAAGGCUCAACCUUGGGCUUGCAGUGGGUACGGGCAGACUAGAGUGCGGUAGGGGUGACUGGAAUUCCUGGUGAUAGCGGUGAAAUGAGCGCAGAUAUCAGGAGGAACACCAAUGGCGAAGGCAGCUCGCUGGGACGGUACUGACGCGUGGAGAACGCGAAAGCGUCGGGGAGCAAGCAGG
rnacentral:rRNA from 1 species